UGAAUAUGCCGAAAUUGUUGAAUACUCGAGCUUCGGGCUUGGGUUCUAUGAUUCAUAUUUUCGAAUAGGAAGAUCUGAUGC